GACGAACGCUGGCGGCGUGCUUAACACAUGCAAGUCGAACGGAAAGGCCCUGCUUUUGUGGGGUGCUCGAGUGGCGAACGGGUGAGUAACACGUGAGUAACCUGCCCUUGACUUUGGGAUAACUUCAGGAAACUGGGGCUAAUACCGGAUAGGAGCUCCUGCUGCAUGGUGGGGGUUGGAAAGUUUCGGCGGUUGGGGAUGGACUCGCGGCUUAUCAGCUUGUUGGUGGGGUAGUGGCUUACCAAGGCUUUGACGGGUAGCCGGCCUGAGAGGGUGACCGGCCACAUUGGGACUGAGAUACGGCCCAGACUCCUACGGGAGGCAGCAGUGGGGAAUAUUGCACAAUGGGCGGAAGCCUGAUGCAGCAACGCCGCGUGCGGGAUGACGGCCUUCGGGUUGUAAACCGCUUUCGCCUGUGACGAAGCGUGAGUAACGGUAAUGGGUAAAGAAGCACCGGCUAACUACGUGCCAGCAGCCGCGGUGAUACGUAGGGUGCGAGCGUUGUCCGGAUUUAUUGGGCGUAAAGGGCUCGUAGGUGGUUGAUCGCGUCGGAAGUGUAAUCUUGGGGCUUAACCCUGAGCGUGCUUUCGAUACGGGUUGACUUGAGGAAGGUAGGGGAGAAUGGAAUUCCUGGUGGAGCGGUGGAAUGCGCAGAUAUCAGGAGGAACACCAGUGGCGAAGGCGGUUCUCUGGGCCUUUCCUGACGCUGAGGAGCGAAAGCGUGGGGAGCGAACAGGCUUAGAUACCCUGGUAGUCCACGCUGUAAACGGUGGGUACUAGGUGUGGGGUCCAUUCCACGGGUUCCGUGCCGUAGCUAACGCUUUAAGUACCCCGCCUGGGGAGUACGGCCGCAAGGCUAAAACUCAAAGGAAUUGACGGGGCCCCGCACAAGCGGCGGAGCAUGCGGAUUAAUUCGAUGCAACGCGUAGAACCUUACCUGGGUUUGACAUGGAUCGGGAGUGCUCAGAGAUGGGUGUGCCUCUUUUGGGGUCGGUUCACAGGUGGUGCAUGGCUGUCGUCAGCUCGUGUCGUGAGAUGUUGGGUUAAGUCCCGCAACGAGCGCAACCCUUGUUCACUGUUGCCAGCACGUUAUGGUGGGGACUCAGUGGAGACCGCCGGGGUCAACUCGGAGGAAGGUGGGGAUGACGUCAAGUCAUCAUGCCCCUUAUGUCCAGGGCUUCACGCAUGCUACAAUGGCUGGUACAGAGAGUGGCGAGCCUGUGAGGGUGAGCGAAUCUCGGAAAGCCGGUCUCAGUUCGGAUUGGGGUCUGCAACUCGACCUCAUGAAGUCGGAGUCGCUAGUAAUCGCAGAUCAGCAACGCUGCGGUGAAUACGUUCCCGGGGCU
rnacentral:rRNA from 1 species